GCGGGGCUGGGGUGGCCGCGUGCGCGCCGCUAGGCGCCGUUCGGUGCGCGGGUCCUUGUGAGGGCGCUUCUGCGCUCGGAAAGGUGCGCGUUCCUGGUGCGAACAGAGCGAAGUACUGCUCUUGGCGACUUCUGGUGGUGCUCAGUACGAAAGGCACCCCGCUCAGCUUUUAGAAGUUGGAUUGCUGUCAAUGCCCGCUAUUCUGCUUCAGCCCCUGCCGCCCCCUGUCCCAGAGCGGUCUCGGAGCCCUUCCUUUCCCCCGCUGGGCUUUUCUCGUGCUUCGCUUCCUCUGCGGUUCCGUACCGCUGCCGCCGCGCCGCGCCGUUGGUGUGGGAGCCGGGUGAAAGAGACAGAGCCCAGCGCCCACCGAAGCGAAGCGCAGCUCCUCUCCGCUCUGUUACAGAUCCUCAGCUCCAGGGUACCUGAUUUUCAUUUUCAUCACUUCAUUCAGGUCAGUGUCACUCAUCUUUUCUGCCAGGUCAAGCCCAAAUCCACCAGCAGGCAGCUAGGGGAUGAGUGCAGUUCUGUCAUGUACGUAGGUCUGUGGUAAUCACUUGACCAUACCAUGCUGUGCUCUAACAGAGCCACCAAGCUGCGAUGGGGACAUAUGUACUUAAGUCCUUUUGUCGUGUUACUCAACAGGCCUGCUCCAUGUGCUGCUGCUGAUGCCUGUAGUUCACAUUUAGGGCAUGUCCAGCUGCGUGACAAGCAGGAAGCUGUGGGGCUCUCAUGGAAAACAGCGGGGAUACUGCUGUGUGUUAGGGAAUUUGUGUGUCUGACAGCCCACUUCCUGACCAACUCACAGGGACUCAGGAAUGAAGAUGACAGACUGAGUUAUACAUUCUGGCACAUCAUGAGUUGGCUAUCCUUGCUUUAAUUAUUUCAUGCUAAAGCCUUAAUUUUCAUAAGGAAUGUGAAAUCCCAGUUGCAUUUAAUUUGGUUCUCUUAUGAUUCUUUAGUCAUUGCUCUAUUUCUCAGUUACAUUUUGAAGUUAUGACAGAUAUAUUUUUUUUAAUUUUCUUUUUGUGGAAGGAAAUGUCCCCUAUUUAUCUUGGCUUUUCUGCAACAUUUAAUGAUUGCUUCCCCAUGGCAAUUGUUAAUGAACCUGUGACAAUCCAGAUUACUGCUGCUCCUUCCAGUUUUUUAAGGCAACUCUAGUCAUGCUCCUGUAGUCAUUCAGGAGAUGAGAAGAAAUAAUCCAUGUGUAGAGUUCAUUCCCAGGUUUGGGGCUUUUGUUUUGUUUAGUUUUUUAGCCCUCAGGGCGAUGUGGACAGGUCUCUCUUGCCAGCAUAAUAAAACAGUCUGUAAAAUAAAAGUUCUGUUUGUUACAAAAACCCUCUUAUCACAUCAACAAAUUGUCAUAUUAAGUCUCAGUAAAAUCCAGUUCUUCCUGUGCAGAGAAAGGAAAUCUUACCCUGGGUAACAGAGCCUUAGUUCUUCUGUUCUGGUAGAUCUCAAGCUCUUCUGAGUUAUUUCCUUCCCCACGAUAGGGGGAGCUUCUCUACUUACUAGCCCAUAGAAAGAGCUGGUACUUUCACCUCCGUCUCUCUUAUUUUCUGUGCAUUGUUUUGAGUCUCCUUUGGGGGUUUAUAAUGCUGCCCAUCUGAAGUUGUCUGUGCCUAAUACCGAUGCUUUCUCAGCAAGGAAGAUUGGCCUCUUCACUGGAAGACCUUUGUCAGUGGCAUAUGCAUUUCAGAGGACUUCCACCUUCUUUGUACAAGCUUGGUGAAAUACAUCACUGUAGGAGCUUCCCCCAGUGACCUGACCCUAAAGUUGCACUUUAGAGAUGGCUGCCUUUUAAUUAUUUUGGUGCUGUUUGUGAAGAACUGGGUGAAGACACAUACAGCAUCUCUGGUGGUAGAGAAAUAUAAUGGAUUAAGGACAUGACAGUGAAAGCCUUCAUCCUUCAAGCUGAAGACCUCUCAGAGCUUCUCAUCACUAGACAGAAAUUUUUAAACUGCCAGUGGAGAUGGGCUGAGACACCAGGAUCAGACAGAGCUGUUACCUCUGUAGGCGGAUGACCAUGACUACCCAGACAGCAAUAUACAGCUGGAUUGUUCAAGUCCAGGGAAUUGCUGAUGAGAUCGAGCCCACCUGGAGCAAGUGAAAACCUGAUUGUGAGGGGCCUGAUGAUAAUCCUUGGACAAGCACUCUUCUCCUCAAGCCUGGUGUGAACUCAGAAAUCUGCUGCUGAGCUGGGACCACUUUGCCUUGCCAUUAAGUGAAACUGGAGCAGAGUUGAGCCCUGUAUCGAAGCUCACUUAUCCCCAAGGUGAUGCACCUCAAUUUUGCCCAGAGCAUGCCCACCACCUUCCCUGAGAAAAGAUUUCUGUGAGACUUCAGCCUGCAGAACACUGUUCACAUCUUUUGUAUGCAGAGUUUUUUGGGACUCAUUGGACAGUUUUUGCCCUAAGAAAGAAGUGAUUUGAGACUUUCGCAAGGCAAAUAAUGAAACAUAAUCACCAUGGGAAUCGGUUUGUUGGAGCUGGAGUGCUUUUCCUCAGCAUCAAUUGCUACUAAAUAAGUCCUCAUCAUUUUUCAAGGGUGUGACUUGCAACAGGCAGCAAUAACAAUUACAUAUUGUUUUCAAAUAAGAUGUCAUUUUCCUUUCUGGCUAACAGCAAUGAUUUUUUAAUGCAUAACAUUUGUUUAAUAAAACUCACAGAUGCUUCCUUAACAGUUGCAAAGGAAGAAGAGAAGAAAACAAAAUUAAAGAAAAGGCAGAAAAUAUAAAGAGCAAAUGAAAGACUUAGCUUCCACCACAACUAUUCACAUUGUGUCCAAGAAACAUUUGUAUACUUUUGUUGGACCAGACUGUAGUUUACAUAGCAGGGAUGUCCUAUCUCUUGAUUCCAUGUUUUGCUGCAGCAUUGUUUUGAUUCUCUGCAAAUGAAGGAAUACAAAGAGUAUCCAUGUUUUAUCAGAAGGCCCAAACCUCAUGAAGAUCACAGCAUUUUGGCUUUUGUGUUUCAGAAGGCAAUUCUGCAGAGCAAGACAGAUUUUCCUUUUUAUUACUCAAGGCUGCCAUAUCUCCACGAUCUGCCUAUCCUUUCUAGUUAGUUGAGCUCACUAAUUUCUUCCCUUUCUUUGGAGUAAAAGGUAAUGUGUUAAAAUUUUUCACCAAAU